CUGCUCUACCGAUCUCAUCAAGCGCGCAAAUUAUCCACUCCCGGCACGGGGAGACGGUAACGAAAAAUAACGAUUCGGGACUCGUCCGAAGCCCCGUAAGCGGAAUGAGUACGCUUUGAAUCCUCUAACGAGGAUCCAUCGGAGAACAAAUCUAGUACCAGCAGCCGCGGUAAUUCCAGCUCCAAUAGCAUAUAUUGGAGUUGUUGCGAUUAAAAAGCUCGUAGUUGAAUCCGUGUCCCAAGCUGUCGGUUUACCGCUCGCGAUGUCUAACUGGCAUCAUUGUGGGACGUCCUACCGGUGGGCUCUGCCCUCUGGGGCAGCCGAACUUAUAUCCCAUCGCGAUGCUCUUUACUGAGUGUCGAGGUGAGUCGGUACGUUUACUUUGAACAAAUUAGAGUGCUCAAAGCAGGCUAUUUUCGCCCGAAUACUGUGUGCAUGGAAUAAUGGAAUAGGACCUCGGUUCUAUUUUGUUGAUUA